UACGUAGGGGGCAAGCGUUGUCCGGAAUCAUUGGGCGUAAAGCGCGCGUAGGCGGCCCUGUAAGUCCGUUGUGAAAGUCGAAGGCUCAACCUUCGAAAGCCGAUGGAUACUGCAGGGCUAGAGUCCGGAAGAGGCGAGUGGAAUUCCUGGUGUAGCGGUGGAAUGCGCAGAUAUCGGGAAGAACACCCGUGGCGAAGGCGGCUCUCUGGGACGGUACUGACGCUGAGACGCGAAAGCGUGGGGAGCGAACAGG
rnacentral:rRNA from 1 species